CCCGCCUUUUUCGCCCUCUGAGGGAAACGCUUUUACCUUUUUUUAACGCUGUCAUGGUGGCUUGAAGCUGCCUCCCAGCUGCAUCUGGUACGCAGGAUGAGACCCUCCCUGCCCACAGACUGUCUCACCAGUCAUACAUGCUCUAGUUAUCUCCUGCUUGGACUACUGCCUUGCGCUCUCUGUGGGGCUGCCUUGGAAGGUGACCCGGAAACUGAUAGCUCCAAAGUGGAAAACACAGUAAAAUGAAGGAAGGUGAGGACAGGUGACCCCCACCUAGGCCCAAAGUCCCCCCCCCCCAAAGCAGGCUCAAAGCUUCUCAAAGCUUUUCAAAAUCAUUUUCUCAGCAGCUAUGCAUCUGCUCAUUUGCUCUGCUGUUGCAAGGCAAAAUGUUAUUCUUUUAUCAGUACUGUAAUAAUAAUAAUAAUAAUAAUAAUAAUUUAUUAUUUGUACCCCGCCCAUCUGGCUGGGUUUCCCCAGCCACUCUGGUCUGCUUCCAUAGAAAACCAAAAAUACAGUAAAAUAUCACAGAUUAAAAACUUCCCUGAACAGGGCUGCCUUCAGAUGUCUUCUAAAUGUCAGGUAGUUGUUUAUCGCUUUGACAUCUGACGGGAGGGCGUUCCACAGGGCAGGCGCCACCACCGAGAAGGCCCUCUGCCUGCUUCUCUGCAACCUCACUUCUCACAGGGAGGGAACCGCCAGAAGGUCCUCAGGAGAUGGACCCAGGUGUCCGGGCAGAACGAUGGGGGUGGAGACGCUCCUUCAGGGAUACUGGACCAAGGCCGUUUAGGGCUUUAAAGGUCAGCACCAACACUUUGAAUUGUGCUCGGAAACGUACUGGGAGCCAAUGUAGGUCUUUCAGGACCGGUGUUAUGUGGUCUCAGCGGCCGCUCCCAGUCCCCAGUCUGGCUGCCGCAUUCUGGAUUAGUUGUAGUUUCUGAGUCACCUUCAAAGGUAGCCCCACGUAGCCUUAUGAGGCUUUGCCCUCGGGUGGGAAACAUAUUGCGCCUGGGAAAGGGAAGUGGGAGUCAACAGACACUCAAGGAAUAGUUUCGGAGAAAAGGCUUUUAUUUCUACCAUCCAUGAACUGGUAGAAGGAGCAAGUGUGAUAAGUCACAAAAAGCAUGCACGAAGUUCACAGUCAUGUGCACAAGCAUAUAUACCCCUUUCCAGUAAAACACAGUAAAAGACGCCUGCUUCUUGGGAGAAAGCAAUGACAAACCUAGACAGCGUCUUAAAAAGCAGAGACAUCCCCUUGCCAACAAAGGUCCGUAUAGUUAAAGCUAUGGUUUUCCCAGUAGUGAUGUAAUAAUAAUAAUAAUAAUAAUUUUUAUUUAUACCCCGCCCUCCCCAGCCAAGGCUGGGCUCAGGUCGGCUAACAAGCAAUAAUAAAAACAAGUUGAAUGAAUACAAUUUAAAAACAAGAUUAAAAUACAACAAAAUAUUGAAACAUUAAAAUAUUAAAAUGCAGCCUCAUCACAGGAGGAGAAAGGAAAAAGAAAAAUGAAAGAGGGGGAGGGAAUCAAAUUGGCUCCAAGCCAAAGGCCAGGCGGAACAACUCUGUCUUACAGGCCCUGCAGAAGUGAGAGCUGGGCCAUAAAGAAGGCUGAUCGCCGAAGAAUGGAUGCUUUUGAAUUCUGGUGCUGGAGGAGACUCUGGAGAGUCCCAUGGACUGCAAGAAGAUCCAACCUCUCCAUUCUGAAGGAAAUCAGCCCUGAGUGCUCACUGGAAGGACAGAUCCUGAAGCUGAGGCUCCAAGACUUGGGCCACCUCAGGAGAAGAGAAGACUCCCUGGAAAAGACCCUGAUGUUGGGAAAGAUGGAGGGCACAAGGAGAAGGGGACAACGGAGGACAAGAUGGUGGGAGAGUGUUCUCGAAGCUACCAGCAUGAGUUUGACCAAACUGUGGGAGGUGGUGGAAGACAGGAGGGCCUGGCGUGCUCUGGUCCAUGGGGUCACAAAGAGGCGGACACCACUAAACCAUUAAACAACAACAACCAACUGUAAAGGAGUGGCAGACAAAGUUGGUCGAGUACGCAGAAUUAGCAAAACCGACACAUAGGAUUCGCAGUCAGGAGGAAACAAAGUACCAAAAAGAAUGGAGUCAAUUUAUGGUCUAUAUAAGUGAGGACUGUAGAAAUUUGAAGACGUUAGCAGGACUGAAAUAAAUCUUAUGUCAUGGUUUUUUUAUUAAGGAACUGUGAAUUAAGGAUUGGAAUAAGAAAACCUGCGGAAGGGAAGGAGGGAAGUCAAUGGCUCUACGUAGCAUAAAGUAAGACAGGUGUAAAAAGACUUGAAAUAUUUGUUUGUCGGUGUUGGUGUAUUUGAAAUGAAAACUUAAUAAAAAGCAUAUUUUUAAAAAAGGAAGGUGACCCGGAAACUACAACUAAUUCAGAAUGUGGCAGCUAGACUAGUGACUGGGAGCGGCCGCCGAGACCACAUAACACCGGUCUUGAAAGACCUACAUUGGCUCCCAGGACGUUUCCAAGCACAAUUCAAAGUGUUGGUGCUGACCUUGAAAACCCUCAACGGCCCAGUGUCCUUGAAGGAGCGUCUCCAUCCCCAUCGUCCAUCCCGGACACUGAGGUCCAGCUCCAAGGGCCUUCUGGCGGUUCCCUCCCUGUGAGAAGUGAGGUUACAGGGAACCAGGCAGAGGGCCUUCUUGGUGGUGGCGCCCUCCCUCACGUCAGAUGUCAAGAAGAUAAACAAUUAUCUGACCUUCCACAGAUAGCUGAAGGUGGGAGGUUUUCAGUGGUUGAUGUCUAUAUUUUGUUAGAAACCGCCCAGAGUGGCUGGGGCAACCCAGUCAGACCAGUAGGUGGAGUUCAAAUUAAAAAAAAAAAAAUAUUAUCACUAUUAACUAAUAUAACAGAAGUUCUAGCUUAUGUAGUCGAGAGGGCUGCAAGGACCAAGUAAAAAAUCGGGGUGACCUCUGGCUUCAAUAUGCUGUUGGCAAUGCCCCCACAUCAUCCCCUGACCAUUGGGGCUGUGAUGGGAGUUAACACUCUUUAAUAAUUAAUAGUUAGUAUACCCUGUCAUUUUCCUUGACAGGGACUCAGGGUGGCUUACAGAUAAACAUAAGAACAGUUGAAAACGGAAUCAUUAAAAAACAACUAACAUUGAUAGAAUAAAAAAUUAUAUAUAUACGUAUACAUAUAUGUACACACACACACACACACACACACACACAGGGUGUGUCAUUUAAAAGAGACCCCGUGGAUACAGAGUACACAUGUUCCACUGGGCCUCUUUUAAAAGACUCACUGUGUGUGUGUAUGUCUGUGUGUGUGUGUGUGUGUGUGUGUGUGUGUGUAUACACACACACACACACACACAUAUACACAAAGAAUUACAAUUUAAAACAGCGUGGCAUCAGCCCUUUCAGUAAAAGCAUUCAGGUCCCCAAAGCCUGUUGCAAAAAGAAGGUCUUCACCUUCCGGCAGAAGGAGGGAGGUAGUCUGGCUUCUCCAGGCAGGGAGUUCCAAAGCUGCCCGGGAGCAGUCACCAUCAAAAAGGCCCUCCCCAGUUUCUCCAACAAGCGUACAUUGUGAAGGUGAUGGGACUGAGAAAAGGGCCUAUCCUGAAGAUCUCAGAGCCUGGGCAGCUUCGUACGAGGGGAUGCAGCCUUUCAUAUAGUCUGUGUAGGACUUUCCAGAACUUUGAAUUACCGUAUUUUUUGCUCUAUAAGACUCACUUUUUCCCUCCUAAAAAGUAAGGGGAAAUGUGUGUGCGUCUUAUGGAGCGAAUGCAGGCUGCGCAGCUAUCCCAGAAGCCAGAACAGCAAGAGGGAUCGCUGCUUUCGCUGCACAGCGAUCCCUCUUGUUGUUCUGGCUCUGAGAUUCAGAAUAUUUUUUUUCUUGUUUCCCUCCUCCAAAAACUAGGUGCAUCUUAUGGUCUGGUGUGUCUUAUAGAGCGAAAAAUACGGUAUAUAGGAUUGGAAUGGGGUGUGUGUGUUCAAUAUUCGCCACCCUAUCCUGGGCACGCAGUCGCACGGAAUACCCUUGUGAAACAGAAAAGAUUUUAUCUCGUCCAGAUCUUACGGAGGGCUUGGCCACAGGCGUUGAGCUCCCAAUGCACCUGCCCCCACCUCCUAAAUGUGGGCAUUCUGGUGUGCAGGCAGGCAGGCAGGCAACUCAUGCAUGAGUGGCCGGCUCAGCUGGAAAUAUUCCCCCCUCUGGCCAUGCACCCUCGCAAGUUAAAAAAAGAAAGAAAGAAAACCAGGCUUCUGAAAUUCUCUGGCGUUUCCCCCGGAGAAAAUAGGCACGCUUUCCAAGUGUUGCGUUUGCAAAGUAAAGGAAGGAUUGAACUCUGAUUAAUAAGAAUACACACAGAGGCUUGAACCAGCAAGACUCUGGGAAGGGUGCGUAUAAUUGUGUCUCUCUGUGCUUGUCCGUUUGGAGCCCCCCCGCCCAGGUAGUUUUUAUUCACAAAAGAGCUUUUUACAGAGUGUUCGUAAGAACCAAUCAGAUUUAUUCUGAGCAUUUCCACAAACCCACGUGGGGAGAAAGUUAAACCACUAAAACUAAUUAAGCACAAAUAUUUCUGGGGUAAAUAAGUUGAGAACUAAAAAGGGGAGCAUCUGGCAGCCCCGGAGGUAAUAAACAAGCAAUACACAUGAUAAGGAGGAUGGCCAGGAGGACAGCGGAUCAUUAUCACUUUCAUGUGAGAUCUGUUUCCUGACCCUAAGAUUAACAUCCUAAGAUUACCUAUUAGAAACUACAAAGACGAAGUGUGUACGUGAUUCGUGAAGAGCAAGGAGAAAUGGGCAGCAGAGGCAAAAGGGCAUGGAAAGGACAUGAAUGCAGAAUCUUAUGGGAUUUAAUCAGAAAUUAUCGUCAAUAUAUCAAACCCAGUCAACACAAUGCUUUCAUCGUGGACACGAUGGCUUGAUGUAUAUUUUAUAAUUCCUCAUGGUAAUCCCAUCUGACCCCUACACCAAGGUGUGCAAUAGUGGGGCAGAAUUCUCCUCUGUGUGAUGUCUUAUGAAUUAACCCGAGGAAGGAACACCAGGAGGAAUCACUUUCCUAACGAAACCCUACCUAAAUGAGAGCCGCCACCAAGCCUUAAAAACGGGCAUCCGUGUGCAUCACUGCAGGGUUCUUAAAAUUUAAAUGAAGACUCUUACCCAUGGGUAGGCAAACUAAGGCCCGGGGGCUGGAUCCGGCCCAAUCGCCUUCUAAAUCUGGCCCGCAGAUUGUCUGGAAAUUGGUGUGUUUUUACAUGAGUAGAAUGUGUCCUUUUAUUUAAAAUGCAUCUCUGGGUUAUUUGUGGGGCAUAGGAAUUCGUUCAUUCCCCCCCCCCCCCGCAAAGUAUAGUCCGGCCCCCCACAAGGUCUGAGGGACAGUGGACCGGCCCCCUGCUGAAAAAGUUUGCUGACCCCUGCAUCUUACCUAAUGAAGUUAAAAUAGCAAUCCAGUAGGAAACAUGAAAUAAAACAAAAGGGGGAAGGUACCAAAACAAUGUAGAGCAGCCUGGGCCAACCUAGUGCCCUCCAGAUGUUUUUGACUGCAAUUCCCAUCAGUGCCAGCAUAGGAUGGGCAAACCUGUCAGUUUUAAGUUUUUCUUCAGUUUCUUAUUUUUUCCAAUCUUAAGUUCAGUUCUACCAGUUUGUGUUCUCCCCCCAAACACAAAGUCCUCUUGAAGAUUAAUCAUCAUUUUGGUGCGGGUUUCUCCUAAGAGACAUUCUUCUGUAUGAUGUGUUGCCCAAUGUACACAUUUUUGCAGAGCAAUUUUGCUUUCAUAGAAUGUGGGGGUUUUUCUGCACAUCAUUCCCAUUGAUAUAUGCAUUUAUAGCCACACUUUUUCCCAGGGCAUGCAUUUUUUUAGUACACAUUCCUUGGCUGGAGAACCGCACUGCAAAAUUCGGAAAUCAGUAAUCAAGCCCAUUUGUUCCUACUCGCAGUCUAUCUGAGAAGCUCACCAUGUGAAGAGGUUUGAGCUGGUUUGAGCUGUACAGCUUUCAUGAGCCAGCUUGAGAUCCUAUACUGUACCAAUACAGUGGUACCUCGGGUUACAUACGCUUCAGGUUACAUAUGCUUCAGGUUACAGACUCCGCUAACCCAGAAAUAUUGCUUCAGGUUAAGAACUUUGCUUCAGGAUAAGAACAGAAAUCAUGCUCCAGCGGCACGGUGGCAGCGGGAGGCCCCAUUAGCUAAAGUGGUGCUUCAGGUUAAGAACGGACCUCCGGAACGAAUUAAGUACUUAACCCGAGGUACCACUGUAAUUGAGGAGCUUUUGCCACUUUGUAACUCAGCCAUUCUUUUCCUGCCAGUGCAACUUUUCUAACUGAUGUAUGGAAAAGCACACAAACCUGAUCUGUGAAGGGUUUGUAAGUUUUUUUGUUUUGCUUUUUAAAUUUUGAUUGAAGUUACUUACAACACAAAUCUACUACAACAACUAAAACAAACAAAUCCACCGCCAUAACAUUUAAAACGAAACAAACUUAACAACAGUACACUUACAACAAAGAAAAAACAUAAAGAGAAAUAAAAGACUUCCUUUAUCCUGUGCACGGCUUCCUUAUUUACUUCUUAUAAACUGUUUGUAAGUUUUAACCAAACGUGUGGUCCUUUCCUAUGCUGGAAGAAGAAGAGGGAAGUUUUGGAACUCAGAAGGACAUGCUUUAACGGUCUUAACAGCCUAUAUUUCCAGGCUUUACUUUGCUGCAUAUUUUGUGAUUUAAAAUCUCUGUUGGGGUUCUGUCACCAAAGAGUAAGGGACCCCUGACCAUUAGGUCCAGUCGUGGCCAACUCGGGUUGCGGUGCUGAUCUCGCUUUAUUGGCCGAGGGAGCCGGCAUACAGCUUCUGAGUCAUGUGGCCAGCAGGACUAAGCCGCUUCUGGAGAACCAGAGCAGCGCAUGGAAACGCUGGUUCCCUUCCCGCCGGAGCGGUACCUAUUGAUCUACUUGCACUUUGAGAUGCUUUCGAACUGCUAGGUUGGCAGGAGCAGGGACCGAGCAACGGGAGCUCACCCUGUCAUUGUGGGGAUUUGAACCGCCGACCUUCUGAUCGGCAAGUCCUUGGCUCUGUGGUUUAACCCACAGCGCCACCCUUCACCAAAGAGUACUUACCCCAAAUUUGGAUCUUGGCAUCCCGGAAAUUCUCCUUUCUAUACCUGCUUUUCCCUUGAACCAACAGGUUCACUUUUAAAUGAGGACUGAACUGAAUUUCUCUCUAACAUCCCUAACAUGCCAGCUGGGGCUGACGGGAAUUGCAGUCCACAACGUCUAGAGAAAGUUGGCAUAUAUCGAUUAUAUGUACACACUACUCCCAUCCCAGAUAACCCUGAGUGUGGCCAAUCAUUUGGAAACCUGCUACUUUCAAACAACAAGCAACACAAUCACAAAACCGACACAUAGGAUGUGGAGGCAUUGGGUUGUGUGUGUUCCAUAAUACAUUCAAAAGCAGAUAGGCAGCUUUGGAGGGAGAAAAAAAUCCUGCCUGUUCAGGCUUACAGCUAUUUGUUUUAGGACAGAAGGUCUGGCGCUUGAGCCUGGCCUCAAGUCAACCCAAUAUGGUUUUCCCAUUUAUUGAGCUCUUGGGAAGAGGGGGCAUCCGAGGUAGGGACUGAGAGAGUUUCCCUUUGUCCUUUCCUGAAUUAUUUCUGCUCUGUGCCUCAAACCUUUGGCUCCUGGUUUCACUGGAGACAGUUAUAGAAUGAGUUCUGAAACUGGAGCUGGAUUCAGUGCCUGAUUUAUAGUCACGCUGGCUGGGGCUAAUGCAAGCUGCUGUCCAAAAGACCUGAAAGGCCCUAAAGUUCUAACUUGACCUAUAUACCGGUUUUUUAAUGCUCUAAUGCAAUGUUUAUGUGCAAGAAUAUCAGCAGCGUGGUGCCUUUUCAAAAAGAACCAGUCUCAAAGAAUUACAGAUAUAUUUUAUUGACAGUAGUAUGCUUCCGUAUGUACCUAUAACACCAAAAGGGUCACAAAUGUGUUGAAUUGCUAAAUUAUUAUUAUAAGAGGCUAGUCUGAAACACCCACAUUUCUAAAACUCACAACUGUUUUUUUCAGAGCUGUUUUGUCUCCCACCGAACCACUGUGAUUUCAACAGCAUAAUGCAGAACUACAUGUCUCCAUGAGUCAAGAAGUUCUGAAGGUAAAUCAGGAACAUCUACAACACUCUAUAUAUAUUUAUGUACAUAUUAUUAUCAUUCCCAGCCCCCAUCAAUACAGA